UACGUAGGUGACAAGCGUUAUCCGGAUUUACUGGGCGUAAAGGGAGCGUAGGCGGAUAAUUAAGUGGGAUGUGAAAUACCCGGGCUCAACCUGGGUGCUGCAUUCCAAACUGGUUAUCUAGAGUGCAGGAGAGGAGAGUGGAAUUCCUAGUGUAGCGGUGAAAUGCGUAGAGAUUAGGAAGAACACCAGUGGCGAAGGCGACUCUCUGGACUGUAACUGACGCUGAGGCUCGAAAGCGUGGGGAG
rnacentral:rRNA from 1 species